GUGUACAGAUGUGAUGGGGAGGUGCAUUGGCGCGGAGGGGGGUGUACAGAUGUGGGGGGAGGUACAUUGGUGUGGAGGGGGAUGUAUAGAUAUGUGGGGGGGUCUUAUGGGGUCUGAGCUUUUCUCAGCGUUCUCCUUGCAGGAGUGACUUUGCAUCUGCUAGUUCCAAGCUCUCUAAACGUGCUUGAUGCGUUUCUGCAGCCAAAACUGGUUUAUCACAUGCUGUGGCUGAGCCACCUGGAUAGCUGCCAGACCAGGUUAAACCUGUCUUAAGAAACAUGUACGAGGCUCUUUAAUGAGGGCAGCUUUUCGUUGGGAAUCAGUUUGGCUGCAACAGUUAUGUAGGUGGUCCCCCACUCUCCUCCCCUGGAAUCCAUUUCAUUCCCUUUUCCCCAUCUUUGUUCCCAGUUACACCCUUUAAGAACAUAGGAGUUGCCACACUAGCUCAGAUCCAUUUAAUCCAGCAUCCUUUCUCUUAUAAUGAAGGCUAUGAUUUUAGCACAGGUAUUUUUAUUAAAAGUCACAGACAAGAUGUCGACAAUAAACCAUAGAUUUAUUGAAGCCGAAGCCAGAGCCCUGCUGCCCGUGGCUGAAUUACUGGAAUUUUCAAGAAAUCACAGAGGUCUCAUAAAAUCACAGAAUCCAUGACAGAUUUGUAGCCUUAUUAACAAUGUCUGUUGCCAAGUGCUUUGGAGGAAGGAAUUGUCUCUAUAGUAGACAAUUAUGCAAUAGCAUGACGUUAGGGGAGGUUCCUUACUAGCUCCCAUCAUUAAAACACACAAUCAGACCACUUUUUACAGUGCCCAGGUUUAUGCUCAUUUUAUUUCCCUUCCUCAAUGCUCAAUCCUCCGAGUCCCCCAAGACCCUUCUCCCCAACUCCUCUUGUCCUCCUAGACCCGGGGUCUGCAGCUCCCAUGCAGCCAGCUCUGCUCCUCAAAUACUGCUCUGAAAGAUCAUUGCCUAAAAUGUUAAAAUGAAACUUCAUCAAGAAUACACAGGGGAAAGUCAUGUGGUGCUGAUGUGAUGCUACAUCAUUCGUUUUGGUGAAAAGGUACCAGAUUGACAGCCCAGGAACCUCAUGUCUUCAGAUUCUCCACAGCACAGGUGCAACUUGGGUAGCAGCAGUGCAAGCUUUUCCACAUCUGGUCAGUGUGCUUGAACCCUAACUUAGAGAGAUCUGGGGAGGAGUGGAUAGGUGUCUCCAUGGCCCAUUCCAUUCAUACUGCUGAGACUGCCAACAAAGGUUGGACAUGUUUUUUCCCCAUGUGUUGGAGACAUCUGUCAUGAAGAACUGGACUGACACCCAUUUUCACAAAGGUCAACAAACAAUCAUCCCAUGGUGGAUUUGAACUGCUCAUCUACUGAUUUCCAGUAGCCACCACACUAUACUAUGGCUAUUACUGCUUGUUGGGGGUAAUUUAAUUACAUUGAUGGGAGAGCUCUCUCCCAUCAGCAUAGAGCGGCUACACGGGAGCUCUUACAGCGGUGCAGCUGCAGCGGUAGUUAUGCUAUAAGAUCUCUAUUGUAGACAUGGUCUAGGUGUAUGAUUAGGAUGCUACCAAAAAUUUUAUGACAUUUAGUGGCUAUCUAUAGAAUAAAGACAAUACCAAAUUACGCUGCUAGCAUGAUGAUAAAUUGGGUCUUGAGGAAGGAUUUGAUCCAGGCAAAGAUAGUGGCCUUGCAUGUGAGCUAUGGGUGGACAUUUCAUGCAUGGGUGGGAGGCAGCAUGGAAGAAGAUGAGGAGGUAUUUAUUGGAGAAUUAUACAAUUAGUAUAUGGGAAAGUGGAGGGUAAUACAAAAAGACCCAAGAAAAGAAGUAUGGAGGGACAGAAUUAUGCAGCACCUUGAAUGCAAAAACUGGAAAUUAGGGCCUGGAAGCUUAAGAUAAGUAACUUACAGGUGUAAGCUGAAUCAUAUUUGACUACAGCAGCUGCUGCUGCAACCAUCAUGAAUGCACAAAUCAUGUUCCGUAUUUAAAAAAGAAGAAAAAUUUAUUAAUUUUGUUUUUACACCUGCCAGGUAGCACAAUACUAUUAACACUAUAACAGUCACUGAAUGUACAAUAAACAUACACAUUUAAAUAACAGAACAGGGUCAGAAUGAUGCAACUAGUCAGUCAGCUUCAGUGUCUCACGAAACAUCCAGAUUUAGUCCCAGGUGUUUUAACAGUUCUUGGAAAGAAGCAAGUAAGACGCUUUUGGAGAGCAGAGAAUCAGGGCCAACUUCUGCGCUCAGAUGCAUGAGCAGAGGUACCCAAUGGAAGCCAAAGGGAGCACCCAGCAUGUAAUUCUUAGGGCAGCCUUUAGCUCUCAGUGACAAUGAAGGGUACUCCAAAAUUAAGCUCUGAUGGGACAUUAUUUAGGAGACAGAGAUCUUCGGGCUGGCUCCAGCAAAAGAAAAGAAAUUCAUAUGUUUUCUGCACUGCAGGUCUGCGCACAGCCAUAGAAACAGAUUUUCAUUUUUAAGAGGGGUCCUGCACUACAGACCCAACUGUAGGACUAUUUUUCACUACCAAAUUUCUGUUCUCUCCCCAGAUCUGUGUAAUCAUUAUAAUUCACUACUUUGGAAUGAAUAUGCAUGAUGCUUAAUUCCCAGGGAAGAUUAGGUCUCUCUUUGUAUAUAUUGUAUUCUCAUCCAUCCAUUAAUUUGAGACACAAAGUGAACCACCGCUUUUGUUUCUGGCUGGUGGUUUUGUACGUGGUGCCUCUGUGAGACACAGGACAAAAAUCCUCGAUAAACAAGAUACAAACUCAAAAAGGCCAUUUUCAAACUGCAUUCCAUAACAAUGGGCUAGUUUUUAACUUGAAAUAACUGGUACAAGAACAAGUGUCCCCAUUAAGUGAUGUUUUCUAAACAGAGUUGAAGAAAACAUUACUUUUUAAAGCCUACAUUUGCAAUGCUUUAAAGGCUUAUUCUUCAUAUCUGGAAUCUGGACCUUUAAAGACUUGAAAAGACUCCUGUAAAACAGUAACUAUUUACCAUGUGACAUUUUCAAAUCCCCUACUUCUCAUUAUCUGUAGUAUCACAUAUCGGACUUAAAAUUUGUAGGACCGUGUAGAGGAACGUGUAUACCUUCAUUUUUAGUCAGUAGAUCAUGUGGCAAUCUGAGAAAAGCCCCCUUUUUAUUAAUAAGAAGCUGUGAGGCAAAGUCAGGGCAGUGAGCAUCCUUCUUUUCUCCUACACAAACAACAUCCCAAGGGCCUGAUUUCCAGAAGUGCUCAGCAUGUACAACUCCAGUUGAAAUCAAUAGGAAUGACCGUUGCUCAGCACAGCUGCAAAGAAAGGGCUUGAUCCAAAGCCCAUGAAGUCAAUGGAAAGACGCUCAUUCACUUCAAUGGGCUUUGGAGCAGAACCCAAGCCCCUAACUUGUUAAUGCCCCAGCAUUUCGGGACAGUCAAAGCAGGAAGAUCCCAGGUACAAAUUUAAUCUACAUUUUGGCCAAUCGCUUCAAGACUACCCUAAAGCAGUGCUGAGCCGGCCAAUAUUUAAACAGGGUUUAUCUCAUCAUGCACAGUCAUUGUUUCCAGUCCAUGUGAAUGGAUAUGUUAUUUACCACAGCAAUAUGUGUCACCAGGCUUUGCCAUCAAGUAGUUGUCCAGUUACGGCUUUAAAUUGUGACUUCAGUUGAAGGUUUGGCAUCAUCGAGCCUGCUACUGCAACUCUUACACACACUCACAAGUAGCCCCACCAAAACCAACGGGGACACUUGUGUAAGCAAGGGAUCUUCAGUGCAGCACCAAAGGAAAGUUGUUCAAAAUAGAGAUUUCAUCUGUUAAUUAUUAUGUCCCAAAAGGCCAUUGAGACCAAAGUUUACAAUGUAUCCUAGUAGACACUGACACUCUGGGGUAGCUUUUCAAGCAGAGUCAGUGGAGAUUUAGGCAUAUUUAGUAUCUCCCAUCAACAGUCAGUGGAGCUGUGGUGAUAUUCUCCUAUGUACCGGACUAAAAAUUACCCCCUUCCCCUUGGUUUAAAAACAAACAAACAAAUAGACCCUUAAAGAGGAGCAAUGUAAGAAAAAAAUAAACUGCUUUAAAGACACAGCUUCCCUUUCUCCUGGUCCCAAACUAUAACACAAGCUCUAUAAAAGACCAGGUCUGCCAGAUCAAGCAAUCCUUUGAGAUGGCUUUCAUUGUCCUAUAAUAGUGGUCCACUAGCAUUCUUUUUUUGUGUUUCCUGAGUCCAAGGCUGGUCAUUUUAUGAAACAGUCUAUAGGAAUUGCAGCACAAGGUACAUGGAAAAUCAGAGCAACCAACUUUAUCAGAGCAACCAACUUUCCAGUCAACCUUCACGGGGAAAAGAAAUUAAAUUUUGAGGCAGUCCUAGAGAUAAGUAUA